GGGUUGUGAGGUUAAGCGACUAAGCGUACACGGUGGAUGCCCUGGCAGUCAGAGGCGAUGAAGGACGUGCUAAUCUGCGAUAAGCGUCGGUAAGGUGAUAUGAACCGUUAUAACCGGCGAUUUCCGAAUGGGGAAACCCAGUGUGAUUCGUCACACUAUCAUUAACUGAAUCCAUAGGUUAAUGAGGCGAACCGGGGGAACUGAAACAUCUAAGUACCCCGAGGAAAAGAAAUCAACCGAGAUUCCCCCAGUAGCGGCGAGCGAACGGGGAGCAGCCCAGAGCCUGAAUCAGUGUGUGUGUUAGUGGAAGCGUCUGGAAAGGCGCGCGAUACAGGGUGACAGCCCCGUACACAAAAAUGCACAUACUGUGAGCUCGAUGAGUAGGGCGGGACACGUGGUAUCCUGUCUGAAUAUGGGGGGACCAUCCUCCAAGGCUAAAUACUCCUGACUGACCGAUAGUGAACCAGUACCGUGAGGGAAAGGCGAAAAGAACCCCGGCGAGGGGAGUGAAAAAGAACCUGAAACCGUGUACGUACAAGCAGUGGGAGCACGCUUAGGCGUGUGACUGCGUACCUUUUGUAUAAUGGGUCAGCGACUUAUAUUCUGUAGCAAGGUUAACCGAAUAGGGGAGCCGAAGGGAAACCGAGUCUUAACUGGGCGUUAAGUUGCAGGGUAUAGACCCGAAACCCGGUGAUCUAGCCAUGGGCAGGUUGAAGGUUGGGUAACACUAACUGGAGGACCGAACCGACUAAUGUUGAAAAAUUAGCGGAUGACUUGUGGCUGGGGGUGAAAGGCCAAUCAAACCGGGAGAUAGCUGGUUCUCCCCGAAAGCUAUUUAGGUAGCGCCUCGUGAAUUCAUCUCCGGGGGUAGAGCACUGUUUCGGCAAGGGGGUCAUCCCGACUUACCAACCCGAUGCAAACUGCGAAUACCGGAGAAUGUUAUCACGGGAGACACACGGCGGGUGCUAACGUCCGUCGUGAAGAGGGAAACAACCCAGACCGCCAGCUAAGGUCCCAAAGUCAUGGUUAAGUGGGAAACGAUGUGGGAAGGCCCAGACAGCCAGGAUGUUGGCUUAGAAGCAGCCAUCAUUUAAAGAAAGCGUAAUAGCUCACUGGUCGAGUCGGCCUGCGCGGAAGAUGUAACGGGGCUAAACCAUGCACCGAAGCUGCGGCAGCGACACUAUGUGUUGUUGGGUAGGGGAGCGUUCUGUAAGCCUGCGAAGGUGUGCUGUGAGGCAUGCUGGAGGUAUCAGAAGUGCGAAUGCUGACAUAAGUAACGAUAAAGCGGGUGAAAAGCCCGCUCGCCGGAAGACCAAGGGUUCCUGUCCAACGUUAAUCGGGGCAGGGUGAGUCGACCCCUAAGGCGAGGCCGAAAGGCGUAGUCGAUGGGAAACAGGUUAAUAUUCCUGUACUUGGUGUUACUGCGAAGGGGGGACGGAGAAGGCUAUGUUGGCCGGGCGACGGUUGUCCCGGUUUAAGCGUGUAGGCUGGUUUUCCAGGCAAAUCCGGAAAAUCAAGGCUGAGGCGUGAUGACGAGGCACUACGGUGCUGAAGCAACAAAUGCCCUGCUUCCAGGAAAAGCCUCUAAGCAUCAGGUAACAUCAAAUCGUACCCCAAACCGACACAGGUGGUCAGGUAGAGAAUACCAAGGCGCUUGAGAGAACUCGGGUGAAGGAACUAGGCAAAAUGGUGCCGUAACUUCGGGAGAAGGCACGCUGAUAUGUAGGUGAAGUCCCUCGCGGAUGGAGCUGAAAUCAGUCGAAGAUACCAGCUGGCUGCAACUGUUUAUUAAAAACACAGCACUGUGCAAACACGAAAGUGGACGUAUACGGUGUGACGCCUGCCCGGUGCCGGAAGGUUAAUUGAUGGGGUUAGCGCAAGCGAAGCUCUUGAUCGAAGCCCCGGUAAACGGCGGCCGUAACUAUAACGGUCCUAAGGUAGCGAAAUUCCUUGUCGGGUAAGUUCCGACCUGCACGAAUGGCGUAAUGAUGGCCAGGCUGUCUCCACCCGAGACUCAGUGAAAUUGAACUCGCUGUGAAGAUGCAGUGUACCCGCGGCAAGACGGAAAGACCCCGUGAACCUUUACUAUAGCUUGACACUGAACAUUGAGCCUUGAUGUGUAGGAUAGGUGGGAGGCUUGGAAGUGUGGACGCCAGUCUGCAUGGAGCCGACCUUGAAAUACCACCCUUUAAUGUUUGAUGUUCUAACGUUGACCCGUAAUCCGGGUUGCGGACAGUGUCUGGUGGGUAGUUUGACUGGGGCGGUCUCCUCCUAAAGAGUAACGGAGGAGCACGAAGGUUGGCUAAUCCUGGUCGGACAUCAGGAGGUUAGUGCAAUGGCAUAAGCCAGCUUGACUGCGAGCGUGACGGCGCGAGCAGGUGCGAAAGCAGGUCAUAGUGAUCCGGUGGUUCUGAAUGGAAGGGCCAUCGCUCAACGGAUAAAAGGUACUCCGGGGAUAACAGGCUGAUACCGCCCAAGAGUUCAUAUCGACGGCGGUGUUUGGCACCUCGAUGUCGGCUCAUCACAUCCUGGGGCUGAAGUAGGUCCCAAGGGUAUGGCUGUUCGCCAUUUAAAGUGGUACGCGAGCUGGGUUUAGAACGUCGUGAGACAGUUCGGUCCCUAUCUGCCGUGGGCGCUGGAGAACUGAGGGGGGCUGCUCCUAGUACGAGAGGACCGGAGUGGACGCAUCACUGGUGUUCGGGUUGUCAUGCCAAUGGCACUGCCCGGUAGCUAAAUGCGGAAGAGAUAAGUGCUGAAAGCAUCUAAGCACGAAACUUGCCCCGAGAUGAGUUCUCCCUGACUCCUUGAGAGUCCUGAAGGAACGUUGAAGACGACGACGUUGAUAGGCCGGGUGUGUAAGCGCAGCGAUGCGUUGAGCUAACCGGUACUAAUGAACCGUGAGGCUUAACCUUACAACGCCGAAGGUGUUU
rnacentral:rRNA from 1 species